rnacentral:rRNA from 1 species
GACAGAGGGGGCAAGCGUUGCUCGGAAUCACUGGGCGUAAAGGGCGCGUAGGCGGGAUGGCAAGUCGGUCGUGAAAUCCCUGGGCUCAACUCAGGGGGGUCGGCCGAUACUGCUGUUCUUGAGGGAUGCAGAGGAGACUGGAAUUCCCGGUGUAGCGGUGAAAUGUGUAGAGAUCGGGAGGAACACCGGUGGCGAAGGCGGGUCUCUGGACAGUUCCUGACACUGAGGCACGAAGGCCAGGGGAGCAAACGGG